rnacentral:rRNA from 1 species
UACGAAGGGGGCUAGCGUUAAUCGGAAUUACUGGGCGUAAAGCGUGCGUAGGCGGUUUGUUAAGUCUGCUGUGAAAUCCCCGGGCUCAACCUGGGAAUGGCAGUGGAUACUGGCAAGCUAGAGUGUGUCAGAGGAUGGUGGAAUUCCCGGUGUAGCGGUGAAAUGCGUAGAGAUCGGGAGGAACAUCAGUGGCGAAGGCGGCCAUCUGGGACAACACUGACGCUGAGGCACGAAAGCGUGGGGAGCAAACAGG